rnacentral:lncRNA from 1 species
UCAUUUCUGCUAUCUCAGCCUCAGUGCUAGGGCUUUGUGUCUUACUCAAUCUGGUGUUACUCUGGAUGGGUAACUCUCCUUUCUUGGAAUCCUGCAUGCUGAAUCUCUUCAGCACCUUAUCCAAGUAGGUACUCUGACUAAGUCCAAUUAGUCUUUUACUCCGAUCUCUCAAGAUUCUUAUCCCUAGAAUAUAGGCAGCUUCACCAAGGUCCUUCAUAGCGAAACACUUCCCAAGCCAGGACUUUACUUCCUGCAGGGUUGGAAUGUCGUUUCCUAUGAGUAGUAUGUCAUCCACAUACAAUACCAAAAAGCUAACUAUACUCCCACUAGCCUUGACAUACACACAAGAUUCAUCUUCACUCCUAGAAAAGCCAAAUUCCUUGACCUUUUCAUCAAAGCAAAGAUUCCAUCUGCGAGGUGCUUGCUUCAAUCCAUAAAUGGAUUUCUCAAGCUUACACACUCUAUUAGGGUACUCGUUGCUGACAAAACCCUCUGGCUGACUCAUGUAAACAUCUUCAGCCAACUUUCCAUUAAGGAAAGCGGUUUUGACAUCCAUCUGCCAUAUUUCAUAGUCAUGAAAUGCAGCUAUGGCUAACAGAACCCGAAUAGACUUAAUCUUGGCUACCGGAGAAAAGGUCUCAUCAUAAUCCACUCCAGGAAUUUGAGAGAAGCCCUUUGCAACCAGUCUAGCCUUAUAAGUGUGUACUUUACCAUCCAUGUCGGUCUUCUUCUUGAAGACCCAUUUGCACCCUACUGUCUUACGACCUGGUACAUUUUCAACCAAGUUCCAAACUUGAUUGUCAUACAUGGAUUGUAUCUCGCUAUCCAUAGCCUCUUUCCAUUUAGCAGACUCGGGGCCUGCCAUGGCUUCCUCGUAGCUGUUAGGGUCAUCUUGACUUACUAGUGUCUCAUCACUAAUAAGUGUCUCACCUUCUGCAGUAAUAUGGAAUCCAUAGUAAUGCUCAGGUGCACUCCUAACUCUCGUGGAACGUCUCAGAGGUACAGAUUUGUCAAUUGGCUCAACAGGAGUUUCCUCCUCAAGUUGAGGGCUAGAGUUUGAAGUUCCUUCACCGCUUGAUUCUUGAAUUUCUUCAAGAUCAAUUUGCCUCCCACUGUCUCCUUGGCUUAUAAACUCUCUUUCUCGAAAGACUCCUCUUCUUGCUACAAAGACCACAUUGUCACUAGGUCUGUAGAAGAGGUAACCAAAGGAUCGCUGUGGGUAACCGAUGAAAAUACACCUCUCGCUUCGAGGUUCGAGCUUAUCAUGAGUCUCGCGUCUCACGAAAGCCUCGCAACCCCAAAUCUUGAUGUGGUCUAGUUUAGGUACUUUACCAGUCCACAUCUCGUGAGGAGUUUUGGCAACUUUCUUUGUAGGGACUAGAUUAAGAAUAUGGGCGGCAGUCUCUAAGGCAUACCCCCAGAAUGAGAUUGGUAGCGUAGCUCGACUCAUCAUGGAACGAACCAUAUCUAACAAGGUUCGAUUACGCCUCUCAGCCACACCAUUCAACUGUGGUGUCCUGGGAGGUGUCAAUUGUGAGACUAUCCCACAUUCCCUUAGAUAGUCGAGGAACUCUGAACUAAGAUACUCACCACCACGAUCGGAUCGAAGCAUCUUAAUGUUCCUGCCCAAUUGAUUCUCGACUUCCUGUUUAAAUUCCUUAAACCUCUCGAAAGUCUCUGACUUAUGCUUGAUCAAGUAGACAUAUCCAUAUCUACUAUAAUCAUCAGUAAAAGUCAAAUAAUAACGAUUAGCAUCCCUUGUGGCAUGUUUGAAUGGUCCACACACAUCCGUGUGUAUAAGGUCCAACAAACCUUCACCCCUCUCACACGAACCUGUGAAGGGUGACUUUGUCAUUUUUCCAAGUAAGCAUGAUUCGCAACUAUCAUCUGACUUUAGGUCAAACGACUCCAAGACUCCAUCCUUUUGGAGUUGGCCUAUGCGUUUCUUGCUUAUAUGUCCAAGACGACAAUGCCAUAAAGAUGCUUUAUCCAAGUUAUUAUUAGUAGAAUCAAUACACAAAACAUUAUUUCCCAAGUUAUCUACAACAGAUACAGCUUCAUACACACCAUCACAAGGUAAUGCUUUAAAAUAAAAGACAUUAUUAUAGAAAACAUCUAUAGAACCAACUUCAUUAUUAAAUGAAAAGGUAAACCCUUGUUUGUACAAAGCAUGAAAGGAAAUAAUAUUUCUUGCCAUUCCUGGCGAAUAACAACACUUAUUCAAAUCUAAACUAAACCCACUACUUAGCGAUAAAGUAUAAACUCCAAUCUUGGUAACAGGUAUAGCUUUCCUAUUCCCCAUGAUCAAGUUUAUCCUUCCUUGCUCCACAUCCUCACUUCUUCUUAGUCCCUGCAAGUCACAACAAAUGUGAAUACCACACCCGGUAUCAAGGACCCAAGAAUUAGAAUGGGGUGAGUUAUUAGAAAUGAUAGUGUAAAUACCUGCAUGGUUGGGUUUAACUUUCCCAUCCUUCACAUCUUGCUGGUAUUUUGGGCAGUUCCGCUUCCAAUGAGCUUUUUCAUGGCAAUAGAAGCAUUCAGCCUCUUUUGGGUCAGAAGAAGGAGUAACGAAACCUUUCUUGGUUCCACUUGAAGAAGAGCCAUCAAGGGUCCGAGCCUUGGUACCCUUAGAAGAGCUCUUUCUCUUCCUCCCUCGACUUUUCCCGAUUGCCAAAACCGGAGUAGAGUUUUGAGUAGGAGUGAUAGCAACCGACUUCCCCUUAAGACCUGUUUCUGCGGUCUUGAGAAGUCCCUGAAGUUUGCUGAGGGUGACUUCUUCCUUGUUCAUGUGAUAUGUCAUGCGGAAUUGAUCAUAGCACGAUGGUAAGGAAUGCAAAAUAAUAUCUAUUGCAAGAUCCUCCGGGAAGUUCACAUUAAGCUUCAGCAAACGAUCCACAUACCUUUGCAUUUUCUGCAUGUGGCUCGUGACGGAUUCCCCGUCCUUCAUCAUGGUUGUUAUCAUGGAGCAGAUGAUUUCAUACCUCUCUUGUCUUGCACUUUGAUGGUAUCUUUCCAUCAAAUCUUGGUGCAUGUCAUAAGGGUAGAAAUCCUCAUAAGACUUUUGGAGUUCCGCUGUCAUCGUGGCCAUCAUGAUGCAAGCCACUUUCGUAGCAUCCCUUUCAUGUGCCCGAAAUUCAGCGAUCUCCUGAGGAGUUGCAGUGGACUCAUCAAUCUCCUUAAGCUCCUUGUCAAGGACAUAUUCUUUGUCCUCGUAGCGGGUAAUCAUCCUGAUGUUUCUGAUCCACUCAUUGAAGUUGGAUCCAUCAAAGGUGACUUUCCCACACAAGUUCAUAAGGGUAAAGGAGCCAUUAGGAUUAGAGCCAGAAGCAUUGUUGAAAGACAUCUGAAGGAAAGAGGACAAGAUUAGUUUAGAUAUAAGAGAGUCCUUAAUAAAACACCCAAAUGUAAUAUUAAGGCUAGGAUCCAAUCACAAUAUAAUAUAACUUAGAAGAGGUAUGCCGUAAUCUAAGCUAUAUCAUAUUUGAAAGGUAGGUGAAUGACGAUUCACCAAUUUCCACCACGAAAACCGCAAUAUUUUAGUAUUAGGUUUUUGAAUGGUUCUUAGAAAUUCCUAGAUUCUUUGAGAUUCAAUGAACUUUUCAAAGGCAUGUUUCAAUCUCGAGUGUGCCCUCCAAGUUUUGUGACUGGGAUACCGAGGAUCACAAAACGAGGUGUGAAGUAACCAUGCAAAUCACUUGGUACCCUUAAAGUUUAUCACUCAAUCGAUGUGCCGGUUAACCACACACGCUCCAUCGAUACUAUAAUAAACCCUAAGUCACCCUUUACCUACCUUGUUAAGUCCAAGUUAGUGUGCCGGUUAACCACACACGCUCCACCAACGACUUAAUCAAAGUGUAAAGUGUAAUUUCAUGGAAUAGCACCUUAUUCACAUUUUUCCUAAAGUAACUAAGAUUGGGAAUUUAAUAAAACAUUUAGUUACUUUAUAAUAUUCAUCAUACUUUGAAUGAGAAUUAAUAAGUCCUUGUCUUACCCGUUCGGCUAACGACCCUCCACCGAUCAAGCAAGCGGUGGGUGAGAGUGGACACCCAUUAAGUCACCAUUUUAUAGGCAACAACCUUAUACCCACCUUAUAGACCGGCUUCGUGAAUGAGGCGUACUAGCGGUAAGACGACUUUGUUCUUAUACAUAUAUAUAUAAUUAUUAAAUCAUAAUAAUAUAAGUAUAAGGGUUGAAUUUUAACUUUUAAAAUUCUAAGGGUUGGAACUAAAGUUUUAACUUAACUUUACUUGUUCCAAAACUUGAGGGCAAGUUUUGUAAACUUUCAAAACUUUUCAUGUCUUGUAACUUAUGAGUUUAAUAGAGUAAUAAAAUGAAGACUCUUCACUUUUCUAACUUUUGUGUUCUUUUAAUGGUUUUUAGUCCAAGAGACUUUUGGUUUUCCAUAACUUGAGGACAAGUUAUGGACUCCAUUAAAACACAUUAUGAUCAAGAAUUAAACUACCACAUAGGUUACAAAUAAUUCCUAUGAUCAUCUAAACAUCAUAAGAUCAAGAACAUGAACAUAAGCAUUUUCAUGAAUCAAAACUACACUUAAAACUUUGUAAUUUUGAUAACUAGUUGUUGUAAAUGAAUUAGCAAGACAUUACAACAUCUAAAUCAAGUUUUCAAGUACCAAAACAGUUUAGGGUAAUGUUUCUAAUCCAUUUCCAGCAACUCAAGUCGAAAAUCUGCACUCUGUCGACCCUACUCGCUGAGUGCAUCAACCUACUCCCCGAGUAGGUUGAAGAUUCAAGUGAACUCGACGAGUCCCCCCCAUGGACUCGUCGAGUCCAGCAGUCAGACAGCAAAUUUUUUGACUUUUUUCAACUUUUAAGCACAAAUAACAAACAAACAAGCCUAGGCUCUGAUACCACUGAUGGGUUUUGAGCAUUCUAACACUUCCUAAGUGUACAUGCAACCCUAAUAACCUUGGAUCUAUGUUUGUCUAAUUAUCAUGCAAAGUUGAAUUCCAAGGUUAUAUUCCUAUCUAGCAUACAUGGGGAACAAUUUUAACUUGAAUCAUAGAUAGAAUAACUUACCUUGUUGUUGCUUGUGUUCCUUGAAACCUUGUGAGCCUAGCACCCCAAGUGUGAUGCCUCAAAUGCUUCACACAACACCAAAUGCUCUUGGAAAGACCUUUGAGAUAAUACACACUUCUUAAAAUCGGCCAAGCCCUCUAGUUUCUUAGUGUAGCCGAUUUUGGUGGAGAAUAUGAUUCUUAUAUAGUGUUGACACAUCUAGGGUUACACCAUGUAAACCCUAAUGUGUCAUGACUCUUCAUUUCCAUGACCCAUGGGUUUGUAACUCCCAGGGAGCAUCCAUGGAGCAUCCUAUGGGUAGAACCCAACUUGAUAAUCCAUGGAGCCUCUUAGCCCACUAUACAAGAUAUGAAUGAUUUACAUAAUCAACCCAUAUAUUUAAUUAGUUAUCCUUUGAUCACAUAAUUAAUUCCAAAUUAAUUCUUUGAUCAAACUAAUCAAAUAAUAUUAUUAAUAUAUUAGAACUUAUAAUAUAUUAAUAAUCUCCAAGUGUUAUUUCUCUCAUUUAGUCUAUCCAAUUGCAUGGUGCCAUGCAACCCAAAUGGACCAUGCCGGGUCGGGUCAAGUACAAGCCCGAAAUAGUUAUGGACUUAGACACCUUAUCCAACAGUCUCCCACUUGGAUAAGUCUAAUAACUAUAUCUCUAGUACUUCAGGAACCGACCGGCAAUCGUAGCUCUUUCAAGGUCUCUCGGAACUGAGAAGAUGAUGGUACGCCAUUUAAGAUAAGGGAUCAUAUAAUCCUCCGUUCUAGAUAUCAGCCGGACAAAUACAUGGAACAAUGUCUUACUUAUUGUCCAGCAGUUUGUUUCUCGAUUUCCGAUUUGUUUGACAUAGAACUUAAUUGAACACAUCAACUUAGUUCUGACCGGGCCCGGUACAUGGGUCAAAACAAAAUCAUCGAGGGGCCCAGAUAUCAGCUUCUAAUCCAAGAAGGAACAGAUAAACUUCGACUCAUAUGUUUGUUCUACCACUCAUUGAAUUACACACAAAAGUACGUUUUAUAACAUCGAGUUACCAAUGCGGUUUCGUACAGUCAAUGCAUAACCAACUUGUAAGUAACAAAUCAUAUCUCUAGGUUUGAAGACUUAUAUGAUAUUACCGUCUCACGAUCACUCGAGAUAGAAUUCCAUGAAGUGAUUCCAGUGAGCGUGGGUUGAGUCCAAUGCUCAGAACUUAUGAGCACUCAUGAUUGUUGUAGCCUUGUCCAACACCUUAGACCUCUACAACCCAUCAUGACAGUCUUGAUUCAUACCUACUUCCGACAUAUGACCGACUGUGGAGGUUUGAAUAAUAUGUUAUACCAAACAAAAUUAUUCUGGAAGUCAAAACAUGCAAAAGAAAUAUAGUAAACGAUCGACAAGAGAUAGCAACACUUUACUCAUAAAUAAAACACCUUUUAUUCAUCAUCAAAUGUCAAUUACACUUUACAAAUUUCUGGGUUAUCUAACUACUAAAACUUAUAUCAUCCUUCAGCCCUAUGCUCCGAGCAUGCUGGAGAUGCUUAACCCUACUCAGUCCCUUCGUGAGGGGAUCUGCUGGGUUCUCAUCCGAUGAUACCCUCUUUGCCACGAGGAGUCCUUCUUCGAUCCGAUGUCUAAUGAAAUGGUAUUUUCUGUCGAUGUGUCUGGAUCUCCCAUGAUCCCUUGGUUCCUUGGCUAAGGCAACAGCACUUUCACUAUCACAGAAAAUUUCCAUUGGCUCUUUAAUAGCUGGUACAACUCCAAGGUCUCCAAUGAAGUUCUUCAGCCAUAUCGCCUCCUUUGCUGCUUCACUAGCUGCAAUAUACUCUGAUUCACAAGUAGAAUCUGCCACUGUCUCUUGCUUGGAACUCUUCCAAGAAAUUGCUCCUCCGUUUAGGGUAAAGACCCAGCCCGACUGAGAGCGGAAAUUAUCCCUAUCAGUCUGGAAGCUAGCAUCACUAUACCCUACAACUCUCAAGUCAUCACUCCCACCGAGGGUAAGGACCCAGUCCUUAGUCCUCCGUAGGUACUUGAGGAUAUUCUUUACCGCAGUCCAGUGUGCCUUGCCAGGGUUCGCCUGAUACCUGCUAACCAUGCUCAAGGCAAAAGCUACAUCGGGUCGAGUACACGUCAUAGCAUACAUGAUCGAUCCUACAGCCGAAGCGUAAGGUGUUCGACUCAUUUCUGCUAUCUCAGCCUCAGUGCUAGGGCUUUGUGUCUUACUCAAUCUGGUGUUACUCUGGAUGGGUAACUCUCCUUUCUUGGAAUCCUGCAUGCUGAAUCUCUUCAGCACCUUAUCCAAGUAGGUACUCUGACUAAGUCCAAUUAGUCUUUUACUCCGAUCUCUCAAGAUCCUUAUCCCUAGAAUAUAGGUAGCUUCUCCUAGGUCCUUCAUAGAGAAACACUUCCCAAGCCAGGACUUAACUUCCUGCAGAGUUGGGAUGUCAUUUCCUAUGAGUAGUAUGUCAUCCACAUACAACACCAAAAGGCUAACUAUACUCCCACUAGCCUUGACAUACACGCAAGACUCAUCUUCACUCCUAGAAAAGCCAAAUUCCUUGACCUUUUCAUCAAAGCAAAGAUUCCAUCUGCGAGAUACUUGCUUCAAUCCAUAAAUGGAUUUCUCAAGCUUACACACUCUAUUAGGGUACUCGUUGCUGACAAAACCCUCUGGCUGACUCAUGUAAACAUCUUCAGCCAACUUUCCAUUAAGGAAAGCGGUUUUGACAUCCAUUUUCCAUAUUUCAUAGUCAUGAAAUGCAGUUAUGGCCAACAGAACCCGAAUAGACUUAAUCUUGGCUACUGGGGAAAAGGUCUCAUCAUAGUCCACUCCAGGAAUUUAAGAGAAACCCUUUGCAACCAGUGUAGCCUUAUAUGUGUGUACAUUACCAUCCAUGUCGAUCUUCUUCUUGAAGACCCAUUUGCAACCAGUCUAGCCUUAUGUGCUAGAUUCUUAUACCUCCCUUUUCGCGUAAAUUUAAUGGCUGGAUUCCACAUUCCCGGAGACCCGUACUAUCCCAACCACGCCAAUGCAGGAUGGAUAGAAGAUGAACCUGAAGAUGAUUACCCAAUUCCUUUGGAUGAUCAUGAAGCUGAAGGC